GCGGCCGCGGGGCUGCGCGGCGGUGGCGGCGGCGCUCCUCCUGGUGCUGCUGGGGGCCCGGGCCCAGGGCGGCACUCGUAGCCCCAGGUGUGACUGUGCCGGUGACUUCCACAAGAAGAUUGGUCUGUUUUGUUGCAGAGGCUGCCCAGCGGGGCACUACCUGAAGGCCCCUUGCACGGAGCCCUGCGGCAACUCCACCUGCCUUCUGUGUCCCCAAGACACCUUCUUGGCCUGGGAGAACCACCAUAAUUCUGAAUGUGCCCGCUGCCAGGCCUGUGAUGAGCAGGCCUCCCAGGUGGCGCUGGAGAACUGUUCAGCAGUGGCCGACACCCGCUGUGGCUGUAAGCCAGGCUGGUUUGUGGAGUGCCAGGUCAGCCAAUGUGUCAGCAGUUCACCCUUCUACUGCCAACCAUGCCUAGACUGCGGGGCCCUGCACCGCCACACACGGCUACUCUGUUCCCGCAGAGAUACUGACUGUGGGACCUGCCUGCCUGGCUUCUAUGAACAUGGCGAUGGCUGCGUGUCCUGCCCCACGUAAUUCCUAGCUGUCGUGGGAUGGAGGGAAGGGCGGCUGGGAGCAGGGCAGGGACCUGGGGUGGGGCAGGUGCUGCUGGUUCAGGAAUAGGAAGAGGGGAUAGGGAGGAGGGAGCCUUGGCCCUGUGAUGGGUGGGCCCCACUUCAGGCAAACUUAGAUGGCAAAAGAGCAAUCUGGAUCCGCCUUAGCCAGAUACAUAAGGGUAUUUGCCUUCACUUUCAGCCAGCAUUCCCCCCAGCGAUCCUAGCCAGAUAUUACAGAUG
rnacentral:sRNA from 1 species